UACCCUCCCAACAAUGGCACUCAAAUUCUCUCAUUUUCUCAUGCCCUCUCUGUCACAUUCGUAGCUCGAUCUCCUUCUUCUGGGACUUAGCGUUCUGAGCAUGCGGUUUUUGCAACGGCCAUUUCGUGCCGCUUCGAUCUCAUCACCUUCUCUCCCCUCCCACCCCCCUUUUUGAUCCACACUUCGGGGCUUGCAAAUUUUUGACAUGUCAAAUGAGAGUGAAGCCAAAAUGUAAACAGCAAGUUUUUGCGUGUGCGGCGAUCUUAUUAAACAUAAAACUAACCACGACAGUAUUAUUUAGUUGUGGUGGAAGCCAAAAAAAUAGCUUGGAGCAUUCAAUAAAGCAGGAUGAAAUUUUUAACCUUCAAGCACGACGCUGACGCUGAGGUAAGGUGUGCUUGUGUUUAAUUUCGAUGAUUGUUUCAUUUUAGGAUGUGAUUUGUGCCAUAUAACCUUUUCUGACGGGGAUUAUUUAGUCGACAUCGUCUGCAGCUGUUAAGCGGUGCAGAGGAAGGGGCUCGCUACGACCCUUCCCACACCCGGACGCUUUUUCCGGGGAUGAAGGAAAUGUUCCCGGUUAUAUGCGCAAAAUCUAACGGUAACCCGUGUUGUGAACGAAUCGGCAUAUGCGGUGCCGGACACUGUGGAAAUUGUACACAACGGGACGAUGUCCAGGCACGACACAAGAGUACGAUUACAUGCAACUGAUCUGCUCAGCGUGCCACCUGAUGCUGGCGUUCGGCAAGACACAGAAGGAAAGGAUUUCGACGUGUGGAACAAGGAUGUGCUGAAUGCGUUUCUGAUCGAUAUCACGUGGAUCAUUCUACUGCGACUAUAAGGGAUACUUGCUGGAUUGUAUUCGUGACAGGGCCGGCCAGAAGGGUGUGGGCAAGUUGACGGAAAUUGUCGCAAUGUACCAUAGCGUUCCGGUGAUGCCAAAAGACGAAGCAGACUUCUCCAGCUACUUAUCCACGCCGAAGGAUGAACGUGCUCAGGGCAGCAAACAACUCGCUGGAGCACGGAGCGCGAAAGGCAUCGUACGCGCAAGGCUUCAUGCUGCUGCGCGAAGCGUAUGUAUGGCGUUGCUUGCUUGUACUUAAACAUAUACAUCUUUGAGUUGUAUGAGUCCCGUAAAUGGUCGUGCCACUUGAAAACAUACGUUCCCAUUAGACCUCAUCAACAGAUCAUUUAAUAAACGACGGCGCUGUAUUGAAAGCGGUUAAUGGUAGACCUCAAAACUGGUUAGCACUUGAUAAAAAGUUCUACACAAGGACACUCCUGGGAACUACUCGUCGAAGCAUCCGGAGCUCGUCCGACGUUUGAUGUCAUGAUUAUCUAAAAUAAUAGGUACAGAUUUACCGGAAGCCGAACAACUAUUUCACUAACUAAUACGAGCUGGAAUAGGACAAAACGUAAAUCCGGAACUGAUUUUUAGCUACUCAAAACGACGCCACUUGUCGACUUGUUAUUGUUCAAUAAAACGCAUGCAAACCAAA